GGGCCUCAGAUAAAGUAACUGCUGAUCCAUUCUCCUCUUCUACGAUGCCUAUCGCAUGAACCUGGUUAGCAGAAGGAGAGGGCACGACUGGUGUGGCAGUGUGCUUCUUGGGGAAAUUUUCCGAUCCUUGUUUUGCUUUGGGAUGACCUGGAGGAAAACCAAUUAGGUGAAAACAUGUUUGGACCCAAUGUCCUGGAUCACCACAAUAGGUACAGUGCGGCCUUCCCCUUCCUCGACCUGAACCAAAACGCGCGGUGAAGCCGCGUUCGGCAUCUCAACUGGUCUGAAGAUUCGGUCGGUCACCACGACCUCCUCUGCUGCCGAACUGAUUCGGCCGGCCACCACUCCGGACAGCCAUGGCGGCGGUGCUUGAACUGGACUCCGCCGCUGCAACGAAACG
rnacentral:lncRNA from 1 species